AGGCGGUGCUGAUUUGAAUUUAUACCAUCAAACUUUGAGAGCUUUUUAGAGAAAAUCUUGUUGAUGUAAAUCAUGAUGCCACUUUCUGAGCCU